CUUUGCGUUGGACGGAGAUGGCAUGACUACAGCUUUUCUGCUGGAGAUGGGUUCUGCAUUUUGUUGGGCGUUACUGUGGUUAGAGAUUGCUGCCUCAUCAUAGAUGGGAAUUUCCUGUCCCGUAGCGGAGGAUCCAUUGUCUUCUUCUUCUCUCGAGAUCUGGGUUUAUGUGAAGGCUGUUGCUGAGGAACGUGAAGAACUACUCGCUCGGCGUCAGGAUCCGCUAUAUCGCCGUCGGCAACAAGGUGAGCCCCGACAACGGAGGCACCGCGCAGUAUGACGGGUUCGUCCUCCCUGCGAUGAGGAACAUACAGGCCAUACUCAGAUCGUCUGGCUUUCAGAACCAGAUUAAGAUCUCGACCGCCAUCGACAUGAGCCUGAUCGGGAACUCGUACCCUCCAUCCCAAGAUGCAUUUUGAGGAGAGUAGUCCUGAUUUGGGGGUGCUGCUAGUUGGAUUGCAAUUCAGAUCCAUCGAUCCUCUAUUAGCAAUGGCCAUUGCAGCUGCUGGUGAAGGAAGAUCUAAGCUUUCUCUGACAAGAAUGGUUCGGCUUGUGCUGCUUGUUGCGUGCAGGGGACUCCAUUCACAGGGAUGGGUCAUUCCAUAGUUGUGUUGUCCACGGGCAUAGGAGGAGAGUGUGUUCUAUAGUCUCCGGUUCCAAGUUACAUAUUGGACACACAGGUGCGGGUACAACUUUCCUUCUGUAAAGGUUGUCCAUUGUAGAUAAUGCAUUUUGACACGCACUCCAUAGGAAGAAUUUUAUUUUCGGUUGUAUAGCUGCAUUCCAGAUUUGUUUCCAUAGAUCUGGGUUGAACUGGUGGGAGGUUGUUGGCAUAUGGUCCCUUUCCCGCACUGUAUGUUUUCUACACAUCAAAUAUCCACUCUUGACCGUGUAGUUUCCAGAUUUGUUAUGUAUCCAGACCAGUUUAUCCUCUGUAGUAGGGAGGCCGAUAGGGAUGGCCAGAAUUUCCAUUACGGUCUGAUGAUCAAACAUUGACCACAAUAGGUCUUCAUUCCACUUAGCGGCUGCAAAAUCUAUCAACUCACCCACUUUGCUUGGUUCAUUUCCUCUUGUUGGUCCGCCAAUUGGUCCCCUGCUUAGCCAUUUAUCUUCUCUAAUGGAUAUUCUUUGUCCAUUCCCCACUACCCACCUAACAUGGGGGGCGAUCGCUUCUCUUCCUGCUAGUAAACUUUGCCAGCCCCAUGAUGGGCGCGAGCUCUUCCUUGCUUGCCAAAAGUCACAAUUUGGAAAGUAUAGCCCUUUCAUGAUUUGACUCCAUAGAGUAUUUGGGCAUUGGGAAAGACGCCAGGCCUGUUUGCCUAGCAUGGCGAUAUUAAAAGUAAGUAGAUCUUUAAAACCAAGCCCACCCUCAUUUUUUCGAAGCUUAAGAGUCUCCCAUUUUCUCCAAUGUAGUCCAGUCGCUCUGUUAUUAUUUUUCCACCAAAAGUUAGCUAUUUUCUUUUCAAUAGCUUUGAGAAUAGAUAUAGGGAUUUUGAAAAUUGACAUCGCAUACUGGGGUAUUGCAUGUACUACUGCUUUGAGAAGAAUUUCCUUACCAGCUUUGGAUAGUAAAUUUUCUUUCCAACUCUCCAAUUUCAUAUUAACUCGAGCUAGAAUCCAGGCGAACACUUCUUUCUUGGAGGCACCCCAGUCUGAAGGGAUUCCCAAAUAUUUCCCUGUUUUUGUAAUUUCUGGAACUCGUAACACUGACGCCAUGUUUCUUCGUAGUUGUUCUGGACACCCUUUGCUGAAAAAUAUCCCUGAUUUAUUUAGAUUGAUAGCUUGACCUGAUGCGUAACAGUAUUGAUGGAGGAGAUUCGCCAGAUUUUGACAUUCCAAGAUUGUUCCAUGUAGAAAAAAUAUAGAGUCAUCUGCAAAUAGUAAGUGGGAGAGGGUGGGACAAUUUCCAUUUAGUCGAAUCCCGCGAAGUGUGCCUGCUUGAAGAGCUUGCUUCAUCAGAAGAGAAAGAACAUUAGCUACGAUGAUGAAAAGAUAAGGGGAUAAAGGGUCUCCCUGGCGAAUACCCCUAGUCGGCUUGAAGUAGGGCAAGGAUAUACCAUUAAAUUUGAUGCUAUAAGAAACUGUUGUGACACACUGCAUGGUCCAGUUAAUCCAUUCUUCACAGAAGCCCAUCUUUCUUAGGCACUCUUGAAGGAAGUCCCACUCUACCCGAUCAUAAGCCUUUUGCAUAUCGAGCUUAAGGACAGCUUGGAAUUUGCGGUGCCGAUCACGAGUUCUUAAUCGGUGUAACACUUCCUGUACAAUCAUAAUAUUAUCCUGAAUUUGCCGACUUCCCACAAAGGCGCUCUGUUCUGCUUCGAUUAGAUCUGGUAAAAGGGGUUUCAGUCUAUUUGUGAGGAUUUUUUAUAUGAUUUUGUAGGCAAAAUUGCACAGGCUGAUAGGUCGAUAUUGUCCUAUCUUUUCGGGGUUUUGGGUUUUUGGGAGGAGAGUAAUUUGUGUUUUAUUUAGGGCUGGAUUUAGAAUUCCCGUUUGAAAGAAAUGCUGGACCUCACAACAUAUAUCGCUGCCAAUGUCGUUCCAAUGGUGUUGAAAAAAUAAUCCAUGUAAUCCAUCCGGCCCGGGGGCUUUAGUAGGUCCCAAUUGGUGAGUAGCUGCUAUAAUUUCUUCCAUGGUGACAGGUGCCAUUAGUUUUUGAUUCAUAGAUGCAUUCACCAAGGUUGGGAUAUUGUCCAGAAUGGGCUGAAAAUUCCUGGGACCUUCUGAAGUAUAAAUAUUUUUGAAGAAAUUCAUCGUCAUGUUCUUAAGAUCUUCUUCAUUCCUGACCCACUCUCCCUGGUCAUUUAAAAGCAUGGAUAUUCCGUUUCGACUCCUCCGUUGAAUAGUAGUUGCAUGGAAGAACUUUGUAUUUCUAUCUCCCCAUUUUAACCAUUUGAUUCUUGAUCGCAAACCCCAGAACAUCUCCUCUUGUCGCCAUAGUGAUUCUAUCUCUUGGUUGAUGUGCUGAAUUCUGAGAUGAUCAUACUGUAUGACUUGGCUGUUCAUCAAGGUUUGAAGCUCACAUUUCAGCCCCUC